AGAUUAAGCUACGAAGGGCGUACGGAGGAUGCCUAGGCACUAAGCGCCGAAGAAGGACGCGGCAAGCU
rnacentral:rRNA from 1 species